AGAAUCGCUUGAACCUGGGAGGCGGAAGUUGCAGUGAGCUGAGAUCAUGUCACUGCACGCGAGCCUCGGUGAAAGAGCAAGACUCCAUCUCAAAAAAAAAAAAUUAAAUUUAAAAAAAUUAAAAAGAAGUAAGAAACAGACUCACAACACAUAUAUAACAAACAUAUAACAGAUGUAUAACAAAUGUUAUAUGUAACAAGCAUUAAUAUAUAGUAGGUUCUAUACAUUAGGAUUAUGAUUUCAAGUAAUAGAAAUCAACCAUAAAGAGCUAAAACAAAAAUGGAGAUUUUUAUCUGAAGGACUCCGGACUUUAUCACAGACCAAGGGCUAAAAUGCAGCCAGAUCUCAGGAAGCGAUUGAAACCAGGUAUCAAAGGACAAUAGGAAUCUAUUGCUCACUUUUGUGUAUUUCUUCAUUCUUUCAUCUGAAGACUUGCUUUCUAUGCUCCUCAGGCCUUGUGGCCAAAAAUGUCACCAUACCACACACCUUGAGUCCAUAUAUCUGCAGAGUCCAUAUAUCUGCAGAGACUGACUCAAUUUUGAGUCCCUAUACCAAAUGCUCAAGAGAGGAAAUCAAAUUGGCUAACGAGCCAAGUAUCACCUGCACAAUCAAUUAACUUGGCCACGGGCACUGAUAUGCAGUAAAACAUGAAUUCCAGGAUCCUAUCUAUGUUCAUGGGAGAAGAGAUGCGUGGGAACGAGCACUGGGGAAUCCCUGAGAUGUCUACUGUAAGGACCACAGGUUAUGGGCUAACUUGUGAUACCUUGUUUAAUUUGCUUUUGAGUAAAUUUUGGAAUUUUUUUUUUCUUACAGAUUUUGUAUUUGUACUUUUAAAAAAAGCAAAUGUGUUAUAUAGGAGGUUUGUAGCUCUACCCCAGUGUUUUUUUUUUUUUUUUGAAUUCAGAUUGGUGCAUGUGUUAUCUCAUAAAGUUGUAUUAGCAAGUACAUUAUAACAACUCACAAAUGCUGGGUUCAAUUAAAUGUUAGGUAACAUUCAGAUGCUUCCACUGGGUGCAUGGCAUGUUUGUGGAGAAAUAGCCAAUGUUAAGAAAUAUGUGAAUGGGUAACAUGUUGUGAUCCAAUUAUAUUACAGAUAGUUUUAGCAUUUGUGAAUUUGUGAUGCCGUCUGACUUUUAAUAAGCUGAACAAGCUCAAUUUUACAAUUCAAUCCUUUAGUAUUUUCCAGUUUAUAAAUGCAGAUAAAUGUCAAGGAUAAAAGUGAACCUUAAAGUUUAAAAUCUACAUGCAAAACAAAAUAAAUAGAACCAUUUGAAAACAGCCUCAGUAUGGCAAAGCAAUUAUGAGAUUCUAGAUUUAAAUUGCUUGAAUUCCACACGUAGCUUCUUGCCUUACUAGCUGUGAAACCUUAGAUAUACUACCCAACUUAUCUGUGCCUCAGUUUGUUCAGCCAUGAAUUCAAGAUAGUUUUAUAAGAUUGCUUUGAGCAUUAAAUGGGACAAAAUCUAGUAAGGUGUUCAGAGCAUUGUUUAGCAUUUCAUAAGUGCUCAAUAAAACUCAGUUAUGAUUCAUUAUCAACUCAUGACUUUGUUGGGCAUCACUAUUAAGUUUAAUCAUCCCUCUGUCUCAGUCUCUUCAGUUCAUGCUUAGAGCUGGCACUGCCUCCAUUCUUCCUCAUCCACUAGUAUCCCAUCAUCUAGUCUCUAUCUUAUAGAAAUUUACUAAUGACUUUCAUAUGCUGAUGUCCCCCAUCCAUUCUCAGCUCCUAUAGGAAUUUCUCCCAUUUUUUGCUGAUUAUCAUUUCAGUGGGUCUUCAGAAAGAUGGGAAGGGAGUGUGUGCUCCAUUUACUGUCUUGAAUAGAAGUCAUUCUGAGAUUUAAAUAUACAUUGUUAGGGAUCUCAUAAUGAUUCCAAUUAUGUACUGCUUUAAAAAUUGUCCCAUCGACUCACUCCAAACUGAAUACUUACCAAUGACAAAAUGUGAACAAUGUUAGAUAAUUGUUAGUAAGCCAAAUUUGAAUAAAAGGUAUUUCUUACAUCCUUCUUUCAAGAUUUGGAUCAAUUAUAUUGUAGAGUAUUACAAGACUGCCAGGCAAUCUGUUAAAAACAUUAUUGUUUGCAACAAAUUUUCUGUAUGAAUUAGAAAUUUCUUAAUACUCUGCAACCCUAUAAAAAUAAAGAAGUAAACUACAGACUGAGGGUGAUAUAAUACAGCAAAUGCUAUGUAUGAUUUCUGUCAACCCUGAUUUUUAUCCAAGCAAAACCUUCUUUGCUCAUUGGUGACUGUAUAAAUAAAUAUUGGCAAUUUUUCUUAAACAUGGUGUACUGACCACAUAAGUUUAUAACCAUUUCAAGACUUCACUAAAACUAAAGAAAAUUAAAAGGUGUAGACCCAGGAAGAAAAUGAGAAUACCAGUGGAUGCAGGAGAGUGAUAAAUGACUUAGCAGGGUAGAAGAGAUCAUGACAUGAGGAGUCUGCAAAAGAGGAAACUGACCAGCAACAAGCUAGUCCAUCCCCAUGGAAACUUUGUAAGGCUCAGGACUUGGAGGUGUCAGGUACUGUGGAGGGUGGGAAUGAGGGAUAGGGCUGAAAACAAGAAGAUUGUUUGAACAUAGGCAAUAAGCAAAACAAAGCUUGAACUCAGCAAUAGCAGGCAUUGUGUAUGGCUAGAAGGAGAGGCAGGCCAGAAAGCAGGGACUGAGUGAAAUUUCACAUACGGAAAACAGGAUCAGCCUCCAGCCACUUGCCCUGUCCUGCUUCCAGAAUGCCAGAAGCCUUGAGAGUAAAUAAAACCAGGUACAAAUAUACAAGGACAGAGAAAAGGGAGUAAGAGGUUGCAGCAGAUAUGAGAUGCCCAUGAAUAUUUUAGAAGAGAAAAAGUUAAUGGGUGGGUGGUUCCAACUUAGCAGAGCGAAUAAAGCUGAGAUAUACGUGUUCGCAGAGGAGGGUGCCAACAACAAGGUAAUCAUUUGGCUUUGCCCAACCCAGGAACUGGAGGCAGGGGUGAGGAUGGACUGCAUGAAGGAAGACUGAUUGAAACACAGACUGUUUGAACUCCUCUGCUUUCCUCCACAAAGCUAAGCAUCUGGAGGUUUAUUCACCAAGGAAAUGGAAUCAAGACCCUCUGGACUUAGUGAUGACAGACACAGCCUAGGCCCAGAUUGGUGUCAGAAGCGGGAUCCGAAGUGGAACUUCUAGCAGCCCCCCAGGACCACUGCAUGACCCACUUGUGUCCAUUGAUCUCUCAGAGCAGUUGGGGAUCCUGGGACAAUCCCUUCAUGAUCUAGAGCCUGAAGGUAGGAUCUUCUGAGAACAUCAGAAAAAGACUAUCUCUACCAUCCACACUACAGCAAAACUUUGGAGCCUUGAACCUUGGGUUCAUAAUCUCACAAUGGAGAAGGGUCCCUCCACACUCCUAGAACUGUACAUACAUUGGAACCCUUAAGGUAAAACUAACCAGGAAAGUUUCUCCCCAGAAGAAGAUGGCAUCCUUGAUGUAAACUGCUUUUCCCAAGAUCACUAAUCAAGACUUCUACUAUUGAGAGACUUAUCUUUGAAUAUAUUUUCCUUGUUUAUGUCUCUGAACAAUAGAAAUGAAAAGGGGGUCUAUUAUGUGCAUUUAUUUAUAGGGUGUAUUUUUAUUUGUGAGGGAUUUUGCAGCCAGCCUUACACAUGAAUUACCAUAUACUUUAAUAGAUAAAAGAUGAAGGCCCAAUGUAGGUGAGAAACUUUGGGGGUACAUAUGUUGCCUCAUAAUCAGUCAAAACACCUCUUAACCCACAUCAUGGAUUAGAGAGAACCUUGCCAGGAGACCUUCACUCUUCUAGAAGGACAUCAUUUGUUAGGUCCUUUUUUCAUGGUUUAGAAUAAAAUAGGCAAUAAUUAGAAAUGUCACCCUCACAAUAAGCUCUAGUAGAAUUUACACAUCAAUACAUCAAUACACAGACAACAGACUUUAAAUUCUCUUGUGAAAGAUAUGCUAAAUAAUAGAAUUGGCUAAACAUAAAAGUACUUGCACAGCUACUGACAGUUGUGGCCUAUGGAGAAGUACAUCAAAUGUAAAUUAUACAAUUUCAGUUGCGGAGGAUUAAUGAAAAGACCACUUAGUCAAGCGAGUAGACUCUUCAUCUAGCUCAUUCUUUAAUCUAUUUAAUUUUAUGUGGUUUGGUUUAUGGGGACCCUUGGUAAGGAGCAUACUCCGAACUCUUGCAUUAUCCUCCCAAUAGUUAUAAUAAUAGUCUCUCUGGGGCACUGUACUCUCUCAAAGGUUUUAAAUGUUUGCAAGCAGCCAUCUCUAGAAUGUCAAAUGGUUUCUUUUCAACUGGAAUGACAAAAGCUGAAAGAAAUGUGUGACCAUGAGGACACCAUAACCUAUGAAUCACAUGCUUAGACCAGAAACCCAAAAUGAUGGUAACUGAGAGUGGCGCUAAGGCCCUAAGUUUUGGUCACACUCUCACCUACGUGAGAACUUGGCCAAGGCCAAAAGGGUUUUUUUUUUUUUUUGGACAGAGUUUCACUCUUGUUGCCCAGGCGGGAGUGCAAUGGCACAACCUCCGCUCACCACAACCUCUGCCUCCAGGCUCAAGCAAAUCUCUUACCUCAGCCUCCUGAGUAUCUGGGAUUACAGGCAUCCACCACCAUGACUGGCUAAAUUUGUAUUUUUGAUAGAGACAGGGUUUCUCCAUGUUGGUCAGGCUGGUCUCGAACUCCCGACCUCAGGUGAUCCACCCUCCUCGGCCUCCCAAAGUGUUGGGAUUACAGGCUUGAGCUACCGUGCCAGGUCGGGGAUUUUUUUUUGUAAACAAAAUUAUGGGAGACCAUUAUUUUGGACUGAGCUCAUACACUAGACCCCAACAAACCAAACCAAACUAAAAUGGAGUCACUCAUGCUAAAUGUGACAUAAUCAAACUAAGGCUUUAAGAAAACACAUAGAUUCUAGAACAGACCAGGUUUUGUUUUUCUCCUGUAAACAGGAUGUUCCAGCAUAAGGAGGUACCCUCUACUCAGUCCUUAUUCCCUUCUUUCAAAACCCACUGUUCUACUGUUUCCCAGUGGAUUUCAAAACCAUUUAAGUACAUUUACGAUAGUGAUAGUAACAUCAAUGGCCAAGAUUUUGGUCAAUCUCUCAAAACCGAGAAAAUGACAAAAGGAGGGAAUUGUUAAAGCAAACUAAAUAUGGUCUGAGAAGGACCCCAUACUUCCAUAUUUGAGUCUUUGUGGAUGAACUGUAACCUAACUUAAUAGUCAGAUAAAAUUGAAAACCUAACUUAAUAGUAUGCACCUGUAACAAUGACUGAGUGUUGGCCAAUCCCAGUGGCCAUACUUCAACCACUGAUAGACUGCUGAAUGUUCAAACUGUGUUCAAAUAGGGCAAAUGCCGAGUUGUAACCUAUCUUACUGUUUCUGUCCCUCACUUCCGAUUCCUGUAUGUCAUUUUACCUUUUUUGUCUAUAAAUUUGUUCUGACCACAAGGCACCCCUGGAAUCUCUGUGAAUCUGCUGUGAUUCUGAGGGCUGCCGAAUUCAUGAAUUGUUCAUUGCUCAAUUAAACUAUUUUAAAUUUAAUU
rnacentral:lncRNA from 1 species